GUUCACUUUAACACUGAGGCGUGACGACGAGGCACUACGGUGCUGAAGCAACAAAUGCCCUGCUUCCAGGAAAAGCCUCUAAGCAUCAGGUAACAUCAAAUCGUACCCCAAACCGACACAGGUGGUCAGGUAGAGAAUACCAAGGCGCUUGAGAGAACUCGGGUGAAGGAACUAGGCAAAAUGGUGCCGUAACUUCGGGAGAAGGCACGCUGACACGUAGGUGAAGUGAUUUACUCAUGGAGCUGAAGUCAGUCGAAGAUACCAGCUGGCUGCAACUGUUUAUUAAAAACACAGCACUGUGCAAACACGAAAGUGGACGUAUACGGUGUGACGCCUGCCCGGUGCCGGAAGGUUAAUUGAUGGGGUCAGCGCAAGCGAAGCUCCUGAUCGAAGCCCCGGUAAACGGCGGCCGUAACUAUAACGGUCCUAAGGUAGCGAAAUUCCUUGUCGGGUAAGUUCCGACCUGCACGAAUGGCGUAAUGAUGGCCAGGCUGUCUCCACCCGAGACUCAGUGAAAUUGAACUCGCUGUGAAGAUGCAGUGUACCCGCGGCAAGACGGAAAGACCCCGUGAACCUUUACUAUAGCUUGACACUGAACAUUGAGCCUUGAUGUGUAGGAUAGGUGGGAGGCUUUGAAGUGUGGACGCCAGUCUGCAUGGAGCCGACCUUGAAAUACCACCCUUUAAUGUUUGAUGUUCUAACGUGGACCCGUUACCCGGGUUGCGGACAGUGUCUGGUGGGUAGUUUGACUGGGGCGGUCUCCUCCUAAAGAGUAACGGAGGAGCACGAAGGUUGGCUAAUCCUGGUCGGACAUCAGGAGGUUAGUGCAAUGGCAUAAGCCAGCUUGACUGCGAGCGUGACGGCGCGAGCAGGUGCGAAAGCAGGUCAUAGUGAUCCGGUGGUUCUGAAUGGAAGGGCCAUCGCUCAACGGAUAAAAGGUACUCCGGGGAUAACAGGCUGAUACCGCCCAAGAGUUCAUAUCGACGGCGGUGUUUGGCACCUCGAUGUCGGCUCAUCACAUCCUGGGGCUGAAGUAGGUCCCAAGGGUAUGGCUGUUCGCCAUUUAAAGUGGUACGCGAGCUGGGUUUAGAACGUCGUGAGACAGUUCGGUCCCUAUCUGCCGUGGGCGCUGGAGAACUGAGGGGGGCUGCUCCUAGUACGAGAGGACCGGAGUGGACGCAUCACUGGUGUUCGGGUUGUCAUGCCAAUGGCACUGCCCGGUAGCUAAAUGCGGAAGAGAUAAGUGCUGAAAGCAUCUAAGCACGAAACUUGCCCCGAGAUGAGUUCUCCCUGAGACUUAGAGUCUCCUGAAGGAACGUUGAAGACGACGACGUUGAUAGGCCGGGUGUGUAAGCGCAGCGAUGCGUUGAGCUAACCGGUACUAAUGAACCGUGAGGCUUAACCUUACAACGCCGAAG
rnacentral:rRNA from 1 species